CCAUGGAGCUGAGGGCACAAUUGUGUACCGGGGCAUGUUUGACAACCGCGACGUGGCCGUGAAGAGGAUCCUCCCCGAGUGUUUUAGCUUCGCAGACCGUGAGGUCCAGUUGUUGCGAGAAUCGGAUGAGCACCCGAACGUGAUCCGCUACUUCUGCACGGAGAAGGACCGGCAAUUCCAGUACAUUGCCAUCGAGCUGUGUGCAGCCACCCUGCAAGAGGUGGAUUUAUUUUUUUUAUUUUGCUAACUUUAUUAAAGUCAUAGCACUUUGGGAGGCCAAGGUGAGCAGAUCACGUGAGCUCAGGAGUUUGAGACCAGCCUGGACAACAUGGUGAAACCCCAUCUCUACAAAGAAACCAAAAAUUAGCCAGGCCUAGCGAUGUGCUCCUGUAGCCCCAGCUACUUGGGAGGCUGAGGUGGGAAGAUUGCUUGAGCCUGGGAGAUCAAGGCUGCAGUAAGCAGUGAUUGUGCCACUGCACUCCAGCCUGGACAACAGAGUGAGA
rnacentral:sRNA from 1 species